ACACAUGCAAGUCGAACGGAUCCUUCGCGAAUAGUGGCAGACGGGUGAGUAACGCGUGGGAAGCUACCUUGUGGUAGGGAACAUCAGUUGGAAACGACUGCUAAUACCCUAUGAGCCCUAUGGGGGAAAGAUUUAUCGCCAUGAGAUGUGCCCGCGUUAGAUUAGCUAGUUGGUAAGGUAAUGGCUUACCAAGGCGACGAUCUAUAGCUGGUCUGAGAGGAUGAUCAGCCACACUGCCUCUGAGACACGGCCCAGACUCCUACGGGAGGCAGCAGUGGGGAAUAUUGGACAAUGGGGGCAACCCUGAUCCAGCCAUGCCGCGUGAGUGAUGACGGCCUUAGGGUUGUAAAGCUCUUUCAGCAGUGAAGAUAAUGACAUUAACUGCAGAAGAAGCCCCGGCUAACUUCGUGCCAGCAGCCGCGGUAAUACGAAGGGGGCUAGCGUUGUUCGGAAUCACUGGGCGUAAAGCGUACGUAGGCGGACUGAUCAGUCAGGGGUGAAAUCCCGGGGCUCAACCCCGGAACUGCCUUUGAUACUGUCAGUCUUGAGAUCGAGAGAGGUGAGUGGAACUCCGAGUGUAGAGGUGAAAUUCGUAGAUAUUCGGAAGAACACCAGUGGCGAAGGCGGCUCACUGGCUCGAUACUGACGCUGAGGUACGAAAGCGUGGGGAGCAAACAGGAUUAGAUACCCUGGUAGUCCACGCCGUAAACGAUGAAUGCUAGUUGUCAGGUAGCUUGCUAUUUGGUGACGCAGCUAACGCAUUAAGCAUUCCGCCUGGGGA
rnacentral:rRNA from 1 species